rnacentral:rRNA from 1 species
GGGGCUGCUCCUAGUACGAGAGGACCGGAGUGGACGCAUCACUGGUGUUCCAGUUGUCUCGCCAGAGGCAUUGCUGGGUAGCUACAUGCGGAAGAGAUAAGUGCUGAAAGCAUCUAAGCACGAAACUUGCCUCGAGAUGAGUUCUCCCACACUAUAAGUGUGUAAGGGUUGUUGGAGACUACGACGUAGAUAGGCUGGGUGUGUAAGUGUUGUGAGACAUUGAGCUAACCAGUACUAAUUGCCCGAGAGGCUUAACUAU